CUACGGGAGGCUCCAGUGAGGAAUAUUGGGCAAUGGGCGCAAGCCUGACCCAGCCAUGCCGCGUGAAGGAUGACUGCCCUAUGGGUUGUAAACUUCUUUUGUACGGGAAGAAUGGUUCCUACGUGUAGGGAUUUGACGGUACCGUAAGAAUAAGCAUCGGCUAACUCCGUGCCAGCAGCCGCGGUAAUACGGAGGAUGCAAGCGUUAUCCGGAUUCAUUGGGUUUAAAGGGUGCGCAGGCGGAAUAUUAAGUCAGUGGUGAAAUCCUGCAGCUUAACUGUAGAACUGCCAUUGAUACUGAUAUUCUUGAAUGUAGUUGAGGUAGGCGGAAUGUGUAAUGUAGCGGUGAAAUGCUUAGAUAUUACCCAGAACACCAAUUGCGAAGGCAGCUUACUAAACUAAUAUUGACGCUGAGGCACGAAAGCGUGGGGAGCGAACAGGAUUAGAUACCCGGGUAGUC
rnacentral:rRNA from 1 species